AACGCACCUUGCACCCUUUGGUAUUCCGAAGGGUACACACGUUUGAGUGUCAUUGUAAUCUCACUACAUUCGACUUUGUGUCGCUUGUAUGUGGACUUGGAUGUUGCCGUGGAUUUCCACGGCUCGUCUGAAAUGCCUGAGUGUACCCCAUUUUGCGGCGUAUUCGGUGUGAUACAUCUUCACCGGAGUUGAUCCUUUCGGGUCGCGUCAGUAUGAGUGUGGCUCUAUGCUUCCAAUUGUCCCUUUAUAAGGACAAUCUCUUGACAAUUUGACCUCAAAUCGGGUGGGACUACCCGCUGAACUUAA
rnacentral:misc_RNA from 1 species